UCUAGAAUAGCUUAAAUUUAAAGCACUGAUUUUGUAAUUCAGAGAUAAACAACUUUUUUCUAGAU
rnacentral:tRNA from 1 species